rnacentral:misc_RNA from 1 species
UUUACGUCGUUGACUCGCACUAUUUCUCUAGCCCCAAAAAUCUCCGUCCAGUAAACAGGUGGAAUCUCUAGUCAGCUGAUACAAACACGUUAGUCAGCUGUUUCUUUUGGAAACCAUGGAUGGCAGACUUUAGUACAUUUCUCCAGAGAGAAAAUAUGUUUCUAAAAUCUUAUUUCACCGUUGUUAUCAUGAUCAUAGCUUUAAGUGCAACAAUGAUGGAUCUUUCCACAAUGAACUGGAAUCCAGAAGUACCAGCGUUUUGUAACUCGACAACACGACAAUAUUCACUCAAAAUGGAUGAAGCAUGUUUCACUUUUCAUCACAUUAAUAAUAAUCAGUACACAACACAAGAACUGGAGAUUUGGGGGCAAUCCAGCAAAUGCCAGGAGUGUCCAAUGUGGAAAUUUGCUUCUUUGAAAUCCGGACACACAGCUGUUUUGACCGUAAAUACUACAUAUCCCACAUUAUUCCAGGUGAAACAACACGAAAUAUCAGUUUGCAAUUUCAGCCAACAUUUUGGUGAAUUCGGACAAUACUCCAUGAAUGCCAGCUCUGAGGGAUGUGGUGACGUGGAAUUAAAUGUUCCUCCAGCAAAUAUUUACCUUCCUCUAUUGUGGGCAUCCUUGUGCAUUUUCCUUUUGUUUAUUGUGUGGGGUUUGAAGUGCAUCAUGCAAGAACGAUACAACCCUUGCUAUCUAUCUAACUGGUUCUGCAGUUCCAACACAUCUGAGGCUUCAUUACUUAUCCCAGAUACUUCAGCUCAACAGGCAAAUCCAAUCCGAUAUCGUAUCCGAUGCCUUGACACUUUUCGUGGGCUUACCAUUGUUUUCAUGAUAAUAGUGAAUUAUGGCGGCGGAGGUUAUUGGUUCUUUGAACAUUCGCCUUGGAAUGGAAUUACGAUUGCCGACGUUAUUUUCCCUUGUUUUGUUUGGAUAUUGGGCGCCAGCUGUGUUCUGUCUCUCAAUUCACAGCUCCGACGUGCCCUUAGCAAACAACGAAUUUUGUAUAGCACAGUUCGUCGCUCUGUCGCUAUGCUCGUUAUAGGUCUCGUGUUAAACUCUCUGAGUAACAAUAACAUUAAAACCUUCAGAAUUCCAGGAGUCCUUCAAAGGAUGUCGUUCGUUUACCUUAUCGUUGCCUUAAUCGAACUUACAGGAUUCGAUCCCGAAGAUAAUCAAAGGUACGCAUGGUUCGCACCUGUCCGUGAUAUUGUGUGUUCUUGGCGGCAGUGGAUCAUAGUGACUGUGUUUGUUUCAACCCAAUUACUCAUCACUUUCUUGCUUCCUGUUCCGGACUGCCCUCUAGGCUAUACGGGAGCUGGCGGACUUGAGAAAAACGGUCUUUUCAGAAAUUGUACUGGAGGUGCAGCUCGUCUUGUUGACGUUUCUCUGUUUGGAAACGAUCACAUUUACCAGAGGCCAACCCCGCGAGCUAUUUAUGACACCACUCUUGCUUUUGAUCCUGAAGGAGCUCUUGGAGGGCUAACAUGUGUCUUGUGUGCUUAUUUGGGAGCAGAGGCCGCAAAAGUGCUUUUGGUAUUCCCAGCAAACAAACAGAGAAUUGUACGGUGGAUGUUAUGGGCCUUAGUAACAGGAUUGUCAGGAGGGAUCCUUUGUGACUUUAAAAUCGAUGACGGACCCAUCCCGAUCAACAAGAACCUGUGGUCGUUGUCGUACGUGCUGGUCACGAGUUCCAUAGCAUUUAUACUCCUCACCAUUUUGUACGUCUUCAUCGAUGUCCUAUCGUGGUGGUCUGGAGCCCCUUUUCGCUACGCAGGGAUGAACGCCCUGCUUCUAUACGUCGGCCACGUUUUUGCCAGGCCUUUGUUACCUUUUUCCUGGCAACCACUAGCCUCGACACAUACUGCUCAUCUGUCAAUGAAUUUGACAGCGGCUGCCGUCUGGAUUCUUAUCGCCUUUAUCUUGUAUCGGAAGCGAUUCUUUUUCACUCUGUAACGAUGAAUAUGCUUUUACUUUUUGUCCGCCGAUGAAUUCGUUAAAACGGAUGUUUGAUAUGGUCGGAAUUUUUUCGAACGAAUAAGUGCAACUAUAAAACUGUCAGACAGACAGUUAAAACUUUUUUCGUGCGUUAUUGUAUUCAAUGUCCGUUCCCUAGGGCUAUGAGGAGGAAUAAAAGAACAAAGUAUCAAAUGUAUAUUUUUCCUUGUUUGAGUCAUCAAUUUCUUUGAGCAAGCUUUGUCCCUUUUGACCUCACUCAGUAGGUUCGGUCCGCGACAUCGUUAUUUUAGAUAGGACGUUGUUAUUGUGUGAUUAUAUUGUUAGCGUUGUUAUUGUUGUCAUUGUGCAUUGGUAUCAAAACAAAAUUUGGGGAGAUCAGCUCUAAAGAUUUGACUCUGGGAAAACCCAGACUGCGCAAUGAGAAUUCUCCAUGUCGUGAUUCGCUUGUCAAUCAUAUUUUGAUUUUUUACGUGCCUUUCGUUGUUUGUCGUUGUCCAUGACAGUGUGACGCACAGUGCGGUAGAAAAUACCCGAGUUUGCGACAGGAAAUGCGGUAGGGCUGAAUGCAAAUUUGAAAGUUUGUACUAAUCGGGGAAAAAAUUGUGUUGUUAAAGAGAAAACAGGUUUUUCGACGUCUGCGUAGGUUUCCCAAAUGUAUUUCGCAAGUUGAAAUUAGUCAUCCUCGAAGUCAGGUGUCGUAUAAACCGGAAAAGGGGUUAUUUCCUAACUUCCGUACAACUCUUGAUGCAAGUCAAGAAAGCGUUGCUAUCCAGCGCUUGCUAGAAAAAUUCCGAGCACGUGUCUUCAAUAGAGUAUCCUUGUCACGAUAUUACUAUUCAAAAGAAGUGGUCACGGAUUUAUUUUUCGCGAGUGAAACUGACCCCGAUAGAAUUUAUAGGCAUAAUUGUCGUUUGCCUAGCCGAUGCGUAACAAUUUCGAGACAAGACAUACGAAAACCCUUUUAACCUAAAUCGCAUUGAGAUUGAUCGAUUCUGACUUUUAGACAUGUCCAACUGAGUACCAGGAUGCAUCGCUCGACAAGUACGAAACGGAAGCAGUUGCGCAGCACGCCAACUCGAUGAAAUGUAUUUUACUCGAAUACCUUUAAUCCAGAAAAUAGAAAGCACAAAAAACAACAUUCCUCGACUGCAGGGCCUUUCGUGAUUACCUUCCUGUUAUUGAAAGUUUGUCAAAGAUAAAGUUGAAUUGCCGCAACACGACUGUCCUACUGGAUAUCCGGAUCUAUCGGUCUAAUCAAUCGGCCUUGAAACAAAUAUCGUCAGGAAGUUCAUUCAAAGUCGCUUAUUAAAGUUCAGGCACUAGUGUACACCUCCCAAUGUAAAAUAGUUCUGACCAGUCUGAAAGGUUUCCUUGAAUCGUCCCAAUUUUGUCCGGGAUUGGUUUUAGGGGAAAACAGCUCGGGGCAUCAGCCUGUGUGUUUCGUCUAUUGUUUCACACAGUCGAGGUCCACAUUUAAAAUCAUGGAUGGCACGUAAGCAUGUCAAGGUUAACUGUGAAAUUCACCUUGGUUAUCCAAUCUUUAUGGAGACUUAGCUGGACUGAACCAAGAAGUGUAGACAUCUUAGCAACGCAUUUCUAGAGUAGCGAUAGGCCGGCAAUUGAUCAAGGUAAAGUAUAUGACGGAAGACCCCCGGAGCGCCUAUUCACACUAUUUCGUAUAGUAUUUCUCGAUGGACAUGUGUACACAUUUGGGUAUUGGAACGGAAGUCCAUUCUGUAGGCGUGCCCUUCGUUCGGCUUCUUUCGCCGAAAUGUGUCGUCGCAGUCAUGGACGUCAGUUUGUUGUAAAACAAAAGAGACGCGAACAAAACCGAAAGGAAACUACAAAGAGUUGGGGAAAUUUUUCUGGCGCGUCACAUCCUUGAAUACAGUAACGAGAUCCUUUGGUUUCUAUUGCUGAGAACUGGGCCACAUAUAAUAGACAGGUGUUGGAGGAAAAAUCAUCUAGAAUAGACAGACAAUCAAUAGGAACUUAUGCUGACGCAGUUGUGGAGAAGGAACUUUGAACGCACCGCAAGAUUUAGUUAUUAGAUGAACCCCCAUAACGAAAAUAACUACUGCUUUCGUCAUGAGGGCAACCUUGACGUCUGAUGAGUUAGUGUCUGCGCGUAAAUCUAAACCUACCUCUGUUCGUCAAAUGAUUAAAGCAUACCAGUUACUAGCGCUUUCCUCGAACAUAUCCUUUCAUUUCUUCAAUCAAUGAAGGAACAUGCCAACAAGAUUGAAAUUUUUUUAGACGAGUUAGCCACAGGCGUCGACUUUAUUUGAUUACAAUCUUGUGCGUUGGUGUGGAGACGGAUGCCGCAUCGAUUUCUAUUCUUCCCAGCUGAAUGCAAUACUACUCUUUCAACCGCUACUCGUCCAACAAGAAGAGCCGUCCUUCCGUCUUAUAUCGUUGCCCUCCAGCUAAACCUGUCGAUACGAUAACAAAUAAUCGAUAAAAUCAAUCGGAAAACAUAUAAACCCUAAUCCUUUUUUAUUCAGGUAUAUUUCAGUGUUAUUGCCUUAUUUAAUUCAAUCGGAUGGAAUUCUUAAUAACAAAGGAAAGUUGGGAAACGAUGUCUUAUUGGAAAAGCUCUUUGAUCCGCGCACGGCUGGGUCGAUCUUGAAGUGUCACCGUUAAAUUUAAGUUACUACUGACUAAUGUGGCGCUUGCGCCGUGACAAUCCUCACCCUUGACGACGUAGCAUCCUGUGCACCUUUCUUUCUGCGCAUCGACGUCAAUGCUUUCCUGAUCUACGGCCAGGAAGUCUCAAUCGAUAAACGGUGGUCGAGAUCGUCAUGCUGGCAUCGCUCCUCAGUCUUUUACCACCGUCUUUGGAAGGUGACUGACACGUUCCGCGCAGAACUUAGCCGUGAUUAAAAGUGUACGUGUUAUCCCUUGACGUUGUGUGUCCCAUUGCACCCACCUUGCCAUGUAAACCAUGUUUGGAAUUCCGCUAAAGAUUCGAGUACAGCAAUCUCAUCGGACGUAAGUUCGGUUUUUUUUACAAGGCCAGAUCCCAAUUUCGAAUAGCAUCAAAUAUGCAUCUGCAAUUCGCCGAUAGGAAUUUCAAGGCCGCCGCGCAACACUGGUCAACUAGUAAGCCCAUUCAAAAGGUUCUUUGACGGCUGGAAAUUUGUUGAAAGAAAAAAGGACCCGGAUUGUAUUCACCUUGUUCCAGUCAGCAGCAUAUAAUUGACGCGGUUAGCCAUCAUUACUGUACAUACAUAAAUAAC